CUGCCACCCCAAUCCCAAUCCUCGGCGGCGGCGCCCUCCAAUCCAACAAGUGGCUCUCCAAUCCCCAUCCUGGUUGGAGAAAAAAUCAUGGUUAAUGUAGUGUUCAUUUCAAUCUCCAUGUUGUCUUCAAUCUCCAUGUUGUCUGCAAAGGCCAAAAGUUAUCUAAUGCAGCAGCCUUAUACGAGUCAUUCAAAGCUUAUGAAGAAGACUCUAGGAGAAGCUUUAAGAAACAAGAAAGAAAUUAUCAGUGUCGUGUGCCGGUCAUCAGACAACUUUUCUUGA
rnacentral:misc_RNA from 1 species